CCUUUAUUUCUGUUCAAGUUCAAUGCAACAAUAGUAUGCAUGUUGAUGUUUUUGCGAGUGGUACUGUAAAGAAAAAGACUUAUUUUCUUUCGGUAAAAAGCUGAGCAUCAGUUAUCAAGUUAUUAUUGGCAUUGUUUAGAAAAUUAAUGCGGACGCCACCUUUUGAAUCGGUCCACCCCACGAUACGCUCUGAAAAUGAGAAUUACUUGAAAUUUAUAUGUGAAACAGAAACAAGCUUACUUAUUUUUAUAAACAUGUACAUACAUUUGCUUGUCAAGUAACAGGCGGUCAAUUAACAUCCUGGCGCCAUGUCAAUGACGUACAGAUCAUCGGCGUCCAACGUGCUUGCAGGAUGAGUCGCUUGAUCCAGAAGUAAGGUUGCUGUAACGCUGACUAUGAUUGAUAUUGCAAAACGGGUAGAAUGUCCACUCCUGAAAAAAACGCUGAAACCGUCAGUGCAGUAUAUCCAGUCUUCUUUGAAACAAUUUAGCUAUUUUCAUCAAGAAGAUUAUAUCUGUGCAUCCUACACGAAGUCAAAUUCCAGAUUGGAUCCACCGCAAACGACUUACAAACAAAUCCACAGAAGACCUUCGCACUUGGAACGGAGAUUGGCGAAAGCACUGACCGGGCGAAGAGUGCCCAGUGGGAUAGAACGAUUCACGAGUCUAUAGAAAAUAGAAGAGCAAUACGCCCAGGGGGAUAGACAAAAUGAGAAGCAAUGGCCGCGUCGAAUCUAUAAUUAGAUAUGGGUCCACAUAACAGCUGCAGGAAUCAAACUCGGGUCAGCCCUCAUGGCCUUCUGCAGUGUGGUGACUGGGAUCGUGAUCGGCUUUGUGUACAGCUGGAAAAUAACGCUGCUUAUAAUAGCCUUCCUGCCCUUUGUCAUGAUUGGGGGAGCGCUGGAAAUGAAGAUGACGCAGGGGGCUGCGGGCAAGAACACAGCGGCCAUUGAGUCAGCAGGAAAGGACUGCAGUGCAAACUGGCUCAUGGGAAAACUGGGAUUAAUGCAUGUCUUUAAAAUGUUUCCCCAGAUUAGCCUGUGCACACUGCACAGACUAAUCAAGGCAGACUUUUUCCCCGAAGUUGAUUUUCAUUUGAAAGAGAAUUCUUUUAAAAAAUGAAUUCCAUAAAAGCGGAAAGUUUCAUCCCUUAUUAGCCUGUGUAUUCUGCACAGGCUAAACUGGGACACCACUUUAAGCACAUGCCGUAUAGCCCAGUUUUCACAGAAUUAAUAUUACUCAGUAUCUGCAGUGUAAAGUAUGGGCGCCUAAUGCUUAAGCAAAGUAGAGGUAUUGUUGUCUCUGCAAUAUUAUGGCAAGAAACAGAUCAAUUUAUUUUAUGCUUUCCGGUGGUUUAUAGAGAAAUAUUAGUGAAUAUAAAACUGAUAUUUCACUGUUUUAAACAGCGAAAAAUAACAGUGAAAAAUAGCGAUAUUUUUCACUGUUUUACUGUGAAAUGACGUCAUUUUUUUCGACUAAAUGACGUCAUAAAUCCAGCGAAAUUAUCCAGUUAAACUCUUUAACAUUGUAAAUAAACGGUGGAAUUUUUUUUCUGCUGGAUUCGAUGAAAUAUCGAUUUUAAUUCACUCGUGAUCAUAAAAAAUACAUAUUAUCACUCGUGGCUGCGCCACUCGUGAAAAUAUUAUUUUAUAUUAUAACUCGUGAAAUAAACUUGACAUUCCAUCGAAUCCAACAAAUAUCCUCUAUAUAUCUACCGGGUAAUGAAAUAUGCCCAAACCAUUCUGCAAAUAUUGCAUAAGAUAUUGUCACCAAGGCUAUUUUGGAAAAUUUUACAUUAUUGAAGAGUAUUUUAAACUUUUUGAUUCAAUGGUAAAGCCAAUCCUCAUAUUUAUAGGGGCGGAAAUUUGGGGUUAUACCUUUUAUGAAAAUAUAGAACAAAUCCAGGCUCAAUUUUGCAAAGAUUUUAUUGAUCUAAAUAGGUCAGCCAACAAUUGUAUCCUUAUGUCUCUAGGGGAGUUUGGUAGAUUAGUAUUAUGUGUGCUUAAGUGUGUUAAACACUGUUGUAAACUUAUUGACAUAUCAUUGCAUAGAUACACCAAAAACUGUUACAAUAUGUUGAAAUGCCAGGAUGAAAUCGGAAAGACAAAUUGGCCUAAGUAUGUUAAUUUGUUAUUUAAUUAGGUCUUUGUUAUAUCUUUGUCUAUCAGAAUGUUGGUAAUGUUGAUGUAGUUUGACAACUGUUAAAGAUCGCCUUAUUUGUUGUUACACGCAAAAAUGGUAAGGAGUUUAUUCGACACGUCUAGAUGUGAAACAUAUAGAAUGUUUAAGUCAUUGCUUGAACCAGAAAAAUAUCUAAUUUUUUUCUAUAGAAAAUAUAAAUAUAUAGUAAAGCAUUUACAAAGUCCAGAUGUUUCAACAACAAGUUUGUUUUUUGAAACCGGAGAACAUCUUGGUAAAGAACAUGAUCUUAGAUGUUGUACACAUAGUCUAAAUGUAGAAAACGCUUGUGUCAUUGAAAACGAAUGUCAUGUAUUUUUUCAUCGUUCUAAAUUUCACGAAGAACAUAAAAUGCUUUUUUCUUUCUUGGUAUAGUGGAAAAAGAGAAGAAAUUGAUUUUAUUAAUCCGAUAAAAAGAAAAAAAAUGAUCUGAAAUUGAAGAAAAUUGCAUUAUUCUUUAUGUAUUUCUUCAUGUGAAAAGUAUAACAUAUAUAACUAUUCACAACUCAUGCAUGUAUAAUGUGACAUGUCUGUAUAUUGUAUUUUGAACCGGUGCCUGUAAUUACAAAAAAAGUGUCUUGCUUGAUAUAUAUUAAUUGAUUAUUCGAUAUUUGUGAUCAUCACACAAUAAUGCAAUCCUUUUUCCAGAAUAUGAGCAUUGCUGGCUGUACAAAUCUAAAUAUUUAUAUUAUAUACACUGAACAGAUCUUUACUAUGUUGUCAAAUUGAGUGCCUACAUUAAUUGUACAAUCACCAUAGCAAUUUUAUUUGCUGGAAGGUUUAAAGGGACCGUCAACCAGAUUGACGAAAAAAGAAAAAUUCUAAAAUACCGUGUUUUUUAAAUUAUUAGUUUAUAUUGAUUAAAAUAUCACGACUGGUAUAUUACAUUACUUGAAAAAGUUGUCAAGUUUUCAUAUUUCAGUAUAUUGGGUAAUAAAAUUUCGCGAUGUGAAAUCGAAAAUACAUCGCGAAAAUAGGUGACAUAACGAUAUAUACACUAUAGAUAACGCAAGUAGAUUGAUCAUUUUAUAUAUAAAAUAUAUACAAUUCACUACGCAUGCACAAUUCGCAUUCCUGGGUUCACCGCGUGACGAUGAUGAUCAAUCUACUUGCGUUAUUUAUAGUUAAAUGGUAGUUUCCUGAUAGACAUACCCAGUAAACUUUUAUUACCAAAUAUACUGAAAAUAUGAAUGUACUAUAAUAUACCAGUCAUGAUAUUUUAAUAAAUAUAAACUAAUAA